rnacentral:lncRNA from 1 species
GGAGAUCGGACGGAUCGGAUCGGAAUCCACCCCUUCGGAAAAUUUCCGAUUUUUUUCGGAAGUGAAAAAUCACUUCCGAUUCCGAUUCCGAAAAUUUCGGAAUGCAAAAGGACGUUCCGAUUCCGAUUCCGAAAAAAAAAAUCGGAGUUUCGGAAUUUUCGGAAACGUCGUUGAUUAUGCCCGGCGACUGAAGCACGAAAGAAAAGCCACGGCCACGGCGGAGAUUUAUAGAGAAUAACGAUACCUUUUGGCAGCAACUCCGGCGAUCUUGAGAGAAAAAAGACUGGUAUUUUGCAGCAAUUUCAGCCUCUGUUUCGCAAAGGAAAGAUAUGGAUGUUAGGUGUUAUGACUCAUAUGGUAGAGAAGAAGAGUCGGCGGUCGAAAGAAAAAAAAAAGUUCAGACGAGGUAGCUG